rnacentral:misc_RNA from 1 species
UCACGACGUUGUAAAACGACGUUAUGCAUGAACGUAAUGCUCAUAAUUUCCCUCUAGACUUAGCUGCUAUUGAAGCUCCAUCCACAAAGGGCUAAGACUUUGCUUUGAUUGUCUAGUAUUUUUGAACUCAAAGAAGAAGAACGCCCUCUUGUUCUAUCAAGAGGGCGUUCGAGUAGAGGGGCGGAUGUAGCCAAGUGGAUUAAGGCAUUGGAUUGUGAAUCCACCAUGCGCGCCUGUGUGAAAUUGUUAUCCA